UCUAAUAAAUGUCUUCCUCUCUAUCCUGAUUUGUUGCUGAAUAAUUUGUUCUAUCACCUCUGAACUCCUCCUCUAGCUACUUUCCUUUGUCCCUUAUCAUUUUAAAAAUGACAAUUUAGUAAUAGAACCAUGGAUGAAGCCUAAGCCAAGUUUGUUCUUCUCGGUUAAUCCUAACUUUAUGGCUUGACUACUCCAAGAUGUGUAGUUCAUCUCGGUGAGAAAAUUCGAUACAAGAACAAUGCUUGUAUUAUACAAAUGAUUGGAAUGUUGUUCAAGAGCUGAAGAAUUAUUCGCCCUUUGGUUAGCCUAAGAAGAGGAGGGGUUGGUGUUAAUUUGGAUCAUUUGUCAUCUCAGUAGGAUUUCAGGACCUGCCAUGGAAGGAAGUCGGAAGGGUUGCAACUCUUUAAGUGGAAGAGAGAUUUUUUAAUAUCUCAUACCAUAUUAAGAUCCGCAAGAGUAAUAAUUUAACUUGAAAUUUGGGCUAUAAAUAGGCAAUGAUCAGAACACACCUAUAUAUUACAUGUGAAUGAAACCACUAAAUACAGAAAGAAUAACAAAUAAAGUAGUAAAGCAUGACUACAUAUAUAUCCCAUUGGCCCAUUAUUAGGCCACUAUAUAUAUCAUCUACUUAAUUAGGGGGCACUGCUCUAAAAUUAGUCCACUAUUAUAAAUUAAUUAAAAUUUAAAACUAGCUAACUUGUGAUAAGAAAAUUUAGAAAUGGUUAAAUUGAAGCUAUACUCAUCAUAAUAAGAUGUCAAACAACCACCGUCAUUUAGAAACUCAUAAAUCCUCAAAUUCCUUGAUCUGUUCACCACAAUCCCCGCUAGACCUGAGGUACCUAUUCAGACGGAUCAACAAGCAAAUACAAAUCCAACUAUGACUCAAGUAAUUAAAGGGUUCUGAGAGGGGUGAGAAGUCCUCAGGGAGACACAGACAUUCAAAGUCCUAUAAACGUCGUCUUAAAUCAUAACUGACUGGUGCUCGAAAGGAUUUGUGGAGACUAACUGACAUAGUCUUAAAGCUAUCUGAUAUCAUCCAUUGCCAACAUAUCAAAUAAUUGGUGGAAAUCAAGCAAACACUAGAAGAAAACUACCCUACAAUGACAAUUAUAUAUCUCAAAAAAUGAAUGGAAGAAAAAAAACUGUCACGAAAUAUAAAAUUUCGCGUUUUUGGCGGGAAAAGACGGAAUUUUUCGGAAAACACUUUUCGUGACAGUUAUUAACUGUCAUAAAAUGUUAGGGUUAAAAUUUUUUUCUUUUUUCCUUUUCUUUUCUUUUUCCUUUUUCUUUCUUUUCCCUAUUUCCUUCUUCCUCCCCGUGCGUCCUUCCCCUUCUCCCCAGCCGCAACCGCCGCGCCUCUUCUCCUUCCUCCCGUACGCCGCGACGACUCCACCGUCUCCUUCUCCUUUCCUUCUCUUUUCUCUUUUCCUUCCGCCGUUCCCUUCCGUCUUUCUUUCCGCCGCAGCCCAGCCGCCCCAUCCUUCCCCUUCUCUCCGUUCGCGAAGCAAAACCGCCACCGACCGACCUCCAUUCCUCUUCUCCUUCCCGUUCGCAGCCCCGCCGCAAACCGUCGCCUCCCUUCCCUUCCAUUUUCUUCUUCCGUCCGCAGCCCUGCCGCAAACCGCCGCGUCUCCCCUACUGAAGCCGAGCGCCGCGACCCUUCUCCUCUUCUCUUCAGUUCGCAAAGCAGCCGUACGCGUCCAGAUCUGCCGCCGUCCAGAUCUGCACCGCAAGACCGCGUCGUUGCCCUUCCGCCGCUGCCCGGUCCAGAUUUGCGUCGCCGUGCACAGCCUCACCGCCGCUGAAACCGUUUCCGCGUCUUGUUCUGUUUCCGUCGAAGCCGAGCCACCGUGUGAAGCAGUAACCGCCACGUCCGCCGCUCACAACCGCCGUCCACCGAUCCCUUCUCCUCCGUUGUCUGCCACUGCCGCGCGACUCUCCGGCCGUCUGUAUACGGUCUCUCCGUCGCACGUCGUCUCUUCGCAAAGCUACUGCUCGAUUUCUUUCGCAAAACACUAAAUGAAAAAUGCAAUUAUAUCAAAGUUGAUGUCCUAAAGAAGAAAAAGUAAAAGAGAAAAAGGGAUUUGGGGGCGAAACUUCGGGACGGGGACAGAGGGCCUGAGAAAAAUGGCGGCAAGGCAGAAAGCGGUGGCGACGCUGCCUAAUCUAAUUAGAACCCUUAAAAAUGAUCGCCGGAAGCCUGGUUUCAGCCAGCCUCUUCCGUCGUUGAGACGUGCCUUUUCACUUUACGAUCAGAUCAAUCUCAUCGACAAUGUCCCUGAAGAUCAGCUUCGUUUUCAACGGUAUACUGAGACGGGGUUCACUGUGAAUGGAGUGGAUUAUGAGGGCAGCUUGCUUUGUGUUGGGAAUUUGUUGAUGUCUUGGACUCCUAAGAAAUUUUCGGAAAUUACGUCUGAUAGCUUAUCUAUCUUCCAGAUUGUGCGCCCUAUUCCAGAAAUUCUAAUACUUGGCUGUGGGAGAUAUACUGAACCAGUAAAUCCUGAAUUGAGGCAGUUCAUUCGUUCCACUGGCAUGAAGUUGGAAGCUGUAGACACGAGAAAUGCGACAUCAACUUAUAAUAUCCUAAAUGAGGAGGGUAGAAUUGUAGCUGCAGCGCUUCUGCCUUAUGGAGUUUCUUCAUGACCCACCGCCCAGAGCCAGACUCGGUUGUUGUUAUGGAUGCCUCUAAAUGGUUCAGAGGUUGGUUGAGGAUAUUUCCCAAUUGAAGACACGAUUGGCAAGGCUAAUUGAUUCCAAAUUCGUACCCGUUGCAGCUGCUUGUUCUAUUUCUGCAUGCUGGUGUUUGGCAUCAACCAAGCGUUUAGGCCACUGUUAGGUGUGCAAAAAUUAACAAGUUUGUCACUGAAAACUUUGUUUGACCCAUUUGUUCUAUUUCCAUUGGACUCAUUGGCUUCCCUAGAUCAUUCUUUCCUACCACACACAAGGAAAAGGGAAUUGAUGCAUAAGUACGACUAUCUUCCGAGUUUUAACCUAGCACUUUUACCAAACACCCCAACUUAGCUCUUGUUCGUCCCAAAGCGAAGAAAGAAGCAGACUUGAAAUCAAGCAUCAAAUAAAGAAACUCAUUCAUUCAUCAUUAGGGUAAGUACCAAAACUUAAGUUUUAACAGUCUUCUUCUUCUUAAAAAAAAACAAACUUUUAUCAUUAGGGCAAGCUUGCAAUCAUUUAAACAUUCCAAGGAGAAAAUACUCAAUAGUUACGCAUAAGUGGAUGCCCUUUCGAGAUGACAACAAAAGCACAAGUAUAACUACCAUUUUCUAAGGAUCAAAGAUUCAAUAUGACUUAGAUGAGAUGACAAGAUUUUUUUUAAUAAAUGCUCUCAAAAUCAUGAGUGCUAUCUUUUCCUACUUUAAGAUGAUGCAAAAGCUAAAACAAAAAAUGUGUAUCAUCAACCAUGCAUUCAAGUAUAAUUUAAUUUUUGA